UGACAGCAUCGCCAGGCAUCCUG
rnacentral:piRNA from 1 species